rnacentral:rRNA from 1 species
UACGUAGGGGGCAAGCGUUGUCCGGAAUCAUUGGGCGUAAAGAGCGUGUAGGCGGCCCGAUAAGUCCGCCGUGAAAGUCCAGGGCUCAACCCUGGGAUGCCGGUGGAAACUGUCGGGCUAGAGUCCGGAAGAGGCGAGUGGAAUUCCUGGUGUAGCGGUGAAAUGCGCAGAUAUCAGGAGGAACACCGAUGGCGAAGGCAGCUCGCUGGGACGGUACUGACGCUGAGACGCGAAAGCGUGGGGAGCGAACAGG